AAACUAACAAGGAUUCCCCUAGUAACGGCGAGUGAACCGGGAAGAGCUCAAAUUUGUAAUCUGGCUGUCUUCGAUAGUCCGAGUUGUAAUCUAUAGAAGCGUUUUCCGUGCUGAACUGUGUAUAAGUCCCUUGGAACAGGGUAUCAAAGAGGGUGACAAUCCCGUACUUUACACAAUCAUCAGUGCUCUGUGAUACGUUCUCUACGAGUCGAGUUGUUUGGGAAUGCAGCUCAAAAUGGGUGGUAAAUUCCAUCUAAAGCUAAAUAUUGGCGAGAGACCGAUAGCGAACAAGUACCGUGAGGGAAAGAUGAAAAGCACUUUGGAAAGAGAGUUAAACAGUACGUGAAAUUGUUAAAAGGGAAACGAUUGAAGUCAGUCGUGUUUAUUGGAUUCAGCCGGUCUUCGGUGUACUUCCUUUAAACGGGUCAACAUCAGUUUUGUUCGGUGGAUAAAGAUGCUAGGAAUGUAGCUUCCUCGGAAGUGUUAUAGACU
rnacentral:rRNA from 1 species